rnacentral:rRNA from 1 species
GACGAACGCUGGCGGCGUGCUUAACACAUGCAAGUCGAACGGAAAGGCCCUGCUUUUGUGGUGUUCUCGAGUGGCGAACGGGUGAGUAACACGUGAGUAACCUGCCCUUGACUUUGGGAUAACUUCAGGAAACUGGGGCUAAUACCGGAUAGGAGCUCCUGCUGCAUGGUGGGGGUUGGAAAGUUUCGGCGGUUGGGGCUGGACUCGCGGCUUAUCCGCUUGUUGGGUGGGUAGUGGCUUACCAAGGCUGUGACGGGUAGCCGGCCUGAGAGGGUGACCGGCCACAUGGGGACUGAGAUACGGCCCAGACUCCUACGGGAGGCAGCAGUGGGGAAUAUUGCACAAUGGGCGGAAGCCUGAUGCAGCAACGCCGCGUGCGGGAUGACGGCCUUCGGGUUGUAAACCGCUUUCGCAGGUGACGAAGCGUGAGUGACGGUAAUGGGUAAAGAAGCACCGGCUAACUACGUG